rnacentral:rRNA from 1 species
CAGUCGCCGCGGGAAUACGAAGGGGGCUAGCGUUGUUCGGAAUUACUGGGCGUAAAGCGCACGUAGGCGGAUAUUUAAGUCAGGGGUGAAAUCCCAGAGCUCAACUCUGGAACUGCCUUUGAUACUGGGUAUCUUGAGUAUGGAAGAGGUGAGUGGAAUUCCGAGUGUAGAGGUGAAAUUCGUAGAUAUAUGGAGGAACACCGGUGGCGAAGGCGACUCUCUGGUCUGUAACUGACGCUGAGGCUCGAAAGCGUGGGUAGCAAACGGGAUUAGAUACCCCAGUAGUCCCUGUCUCUUAUAU